rnacentral:rRNA from 1 species
GAUGAACGCUGGCGGCGUGCCUAACACAUGCAAGUCGAGCGAACAGAUGAUGAGCUUGCUCCUCUGACGUUAGCGGCGGACGGGUGAGUAACACGUGGAUCACCUACCUAUAUGUCUGGGAUAACUUCGGGAAACAGGAUCUAAUACUGGAUAAUAUAUUGAACCGCAUGGUGCAAUAGAGAAUGACGGUUUUGCUGUCUCUUAUAGAUGGAUCCGCGCUGCAUUAGCUAGUUGGUAAGGUAACAGCUUACCAAGGCAACGAUGCGUAGCCGAUCUGAGAGGGUGAUCGGCCACACUGGAACUGAGACACGGUCCAGACUCCUACGGGAGGCAGCAGUAGGGAAUCUUCGGCAAUGGGCGAAAGCCUGACGGAGCAACGCCGCGUGAGUGAUGAAGGUCUUCGGAUCGUAAAACUCUGUUAUUAGGGAAGAACAAAUGUGUAAGUAACUAUGCACGUCUUGACGGUACCUAAUCAGAAAGCCACGGCUAACUACGUG